GUAGGUGAACCUGCGGAAGGAUCAUUAAUAUUUUCCAAACCUAAUGACAUUCGUUCCUAAUAUUGUGACGAAUGUUAUACCCCAAAAGCGAACUUUGUUGUUUUCCAAAAGAGAAAUGAAGUUGGGUGGAGCAAUCUGCCUCAAUUUUAUUUCUUCUUUUUUCUUUUUUUUCUUUUUAAAACCCAAAUGAAACUAAUUUGACUGAAACUUUUUCGCAUUGGGUAAUUCCAAUGAGAAAGAAAACGUUAAU
rnacentral:misc_RNA from 1 species